rnacentral:rRNA from 1 species
UCAUGUCGCCUAGGCAUUCACCGUAUGCUCUUUCGUGNAUUCUNANGNACGUGACAGGCUGCGAAAAGCCUUGGGGAGCUGCCAAGUGAGCGUAUGACCCAAGGAUGUCCGAAUGGGGAAACCCUAGCUGCUAUAUGCGGCUAAUCUCUGGCUGAAUUUAUAGGCCAGUUGAGCACAACCCGGGGAACUGAAACAUCUAAGUACCCGGAGGAAAGGAAAUCAACCGAGACUCCCUUAGUAGCGGCGAGCGAAAGGGGAAGAGCCCAAACCGAUUCUUCUUCGGAAGAUCGGGGUUGUAGGGCUGACAAUGUGGACUUGGAUCUAUAGGGGAAGCGUCUGGAAAGUCGCACCAUAGGGGGUGAUAGUCCCGUACCUGAAAUAGUGAAGAGCCUAGUCAGUUCCUGAGUACCGCAGGACACGUGAAAUCCGGUGGGAAUCUGGGGGGACCACCCUCCAAGGCUAAGUACUCCAUGUCGACCGAUAGUGAACCAGUACCGUGAGGGAAAGGUGAAAAGGACCCCGAUAAGGGGAGUGAAAGAGAACCUGAAACCGUAUGCUUACAAACAGUGGGAGCCCGAUGCUUUAUGCCGGGUGACCGCGUACCUUUUGCAUAAUGGGGCAGCGAGUUGUCCUAUGCGGCAAGGUUAAGCCGAGAGGUGUAGCCGAAGCGAAAGCGAGUCUGACAAGGGCGAUAGUCGUAUGGGGCAGACCCGAAACCGGGUGAGCUAUCCAUGGGCAGGUUGAAGCGGGGGUAAGACCCUGUGGAGGACCGAACGCACGAAUGUUGAAAAAUUCGGCGAUGACCUGUGGAUGGGGGUGAAAGGCCAAUCAAACUCGGUGAUAGCUGGUUCUCCCCGAAAGAUAUUUAGGUAUCGCGUCUUAUGAAUCCUACCGGGGGUAGAGAUACUGAAUGGGCUAGGGCCCUCACCAGGGUACCAAACCCAACCAAACUCCGAAUACCGGUAAGGACUAUAAGGCAGGCAGACUGCGGGUGAUAAGGUCCGUAGUCGAGAGGGAAAGAGCCCAGACUAGCAGCUAAGGUCCCUAAGUUAGUGCUUAGUGGUAAAGGAUGUGGAGAUGCUGAAACAAUCAGGAUGUUGGCUUAGAAGCAGCCAUCGUUUGAAGAAAGCGUAAUAGCUCACUGAUCUAGCGUCUCUGCGCCGAAAAUGUAACGGGGCUCAAGCACUACACCGAAGCUCUAGCAUCUAUUUAUAGAUGGGUAGGGGAGCGUUCUGAAGGCGUCGAAGGUUGACCGCGAGGACAGCUGGAGCGUUCAGAAGUGAGUAUGCUGCCAUGAGUAGCGAUAAAAGGGGUGAGAAUCCCCUUCGCCGAAAGCCUAAGGUUUCCACGGCCAGGAGAAUCCGCCGUGGGUUAGUCGGCUCCUAAGGUGAGGCCGAGAGGCGUAAUCGAUGGAUAGACGGGUUAAUAUUCCCGCACCGACAUAUGUGCAUUGAAGCGAGCGGGGACGGAGAAGGAUAGCCCAGCGGAUCAUGGUUAUGUCCGUGAAAGGUUGUAGGGGUGCAGCGUAGGAAUAAACGCGUUGCUUAUACCCUGAGAGCUGAAUGGCGAGGGUUCUACGGAACUCGAGUGAGGUGAUUCCAUGCUUCCAAGAAAAGCCGCGCGUGGAGUGCAUAUGUUGACCGUACCGCAAACCAACACAGGUAGGCAGGGUGAGUAUCCCAAGGCGCGUGAGAGAACUCUGGUUAAGGAACUCUGCAAAUUGGCACCGUAACUUCGGGAGAAGGUGUGCCCUCAUACCGUGAUCCACCUUGCGUGGCGUAGCGGGAGGGGGUUGCAGCGACCAGGCGGUAGCGACUGUUUACCAAAAACAUAGGUCUCUGCGAACUCGUAAGAGGACGUAUAGGGGCUGACGCCUGCCCGGUGCCGGAAGGUUAAGAGGACGUGUUAGCACUUCGGUGCGAAGCUACAUGGCUUUGCUAAAUCGAAAGAUGAUGUAUAAGGCCUGACACCUGCCCGGUGCCGGAAGGUUAAAAGGAGGGCUUAGCUUUUGCGAAGGUCUGAAUGAAGCCCCGGUAAACGGCGGCCGUAACUAUAACGGUCCUAAGGUAGCGAAAUUCCUUGUCGGGUAAGUUCCGACCUGCACGAAUGGCGUAACGACUUCCGCACUGUCUCAACCAGGGACUCAGCGAAAUUGAAUUGCCGGUGAAAAUGCCGGCUACCCGCGGCAAGACGGAAAGACCCCGUGAACCUUUACUACAGCUUGGCAGUGAUGUUUGAAUCAUUUUGUAGAGGAUAGGUGGGAGACUUUGAAGCGGGGGCGCUAGCCCUCGUGGAGUCAACCUUGGAAUACCACCCUGAAUCAUUUGAACAUCUAACCUCGAUCCAUGAAGCUGGAUCAGGGACAUUGCCUGGUGGGUAGUUUGACUGGGGCGGUCGCCUCCCAAAAAGUAACGGAGGCGCGCGAAGGUUCCCUCAGCCUGAUUGGAAACCAGGCGUAGAGUGCAAUGGCAUAAGGGAGCUUAACUGCGAGACUGACAGGUCGAGCAGGUACGAAAGUAGGUCAUAGUGAUCCGGUGGUCCCGCGUGGAAGGGCCAUCGCUCAACGGAUAAAAGGUACUCCGGGGAUAACAGGCU